CUAGCCGUAAACGAUGGGCACUAGGUGUGGGGAGUGUCAACUCUCUCCGUGCCGAAGCUAACGCAUUAAGUGCCCCGCCUGGGGAGUACGGUCGCAAGGCUAAAACUCAAAGGAAUUGACGGGGGCCCGCACAAGCGGCGGAGCAUGUGGCUUAAUUCGACGCAACGCGAAGAACCUUACCAGGGCUUGACAUGCAUCUGAAAGGCGUGGAAACACGUCCCCCUUUAUGGCAGUUGCACAGGUGG
rnacentral:rRNA from 1 species